CGACUUUCAAUUCGGAGGUCGCGGGUUCAAACCCCGGCUCGUACCAAUGAAUUUUUCGGAACUUAUGUACGAAAUAUCAUUUGAUAUUUACCAGUUGCUUUUCGGUGAAGGAAAACAUCGUGAGGAAACCGGACUAAUCCCAACAAGGCCUAGUUUCCCCUUUGGGUUGAAAGAUGGCAGUCGCUUUCGUAAAAACUAGCGCCUACGCCAAUUCUUGGGAUUAGUUGCCAAGCGGACCCCAGGCUCCCAUGAGCCGUGGCAAAAAUGCCGGGACAACGCGAGGAA